rnacentral:tRNA from 2 species
GUAAAGUCAGCUAAUAAAGCUCUUGGGCCCAUACCCCAAAAAUGUUGGUAAAACCCCUCCUUUACUA